CCUAUGCCCCAUCCUGCCUGACCCCUCUGUAUCCCUCUGUGACCCUAUGUGUCCCUCUGUGAUCUUCUGUCCUUCUUUGUCCCUCUGUGACACUCUGAAUCCCUCUGUGACCCUAUGUGUCCCUCUGUGAGCUUCUGUCCUUCUUUGUCCCUCUGUGACACUCUGAAUCCCUCUGUGACCCUAUGUGUCCCUCUGUGACCUUCUGUCCUUCUUUGUCCCUCUGUGACACUCUGAAUCCCUCUGUGACCCUAUGUGUCCCUCUGUGACCCUAUGUGUACCUCUGUGACCCUACGUGUCCCUCUGUGACCCUAUGUGUCCCUCUGUGACCCUCUGUGACCCUCUGUAUCCCUCUGUGACCUUCUGUGUCCCUCUUUGUCCCUCUGUGACCCUCUCUCUAUGACAUCUCCAGCUCUGUCUCCUCACUGAACUCUUACCUCCAGAGUGGCAGAUGGUUUCUUUUUCAGCUCAUCACAUUUGCGGAACUUGCAGAUCUGGUGGCCCGUUUUGCGGUUCCGGCAGCUGCUGCACGUCUCGCAGUUAAUUCGCCGACGGCAGGGCUGGCACAUGCCGCAGCGUUUCCGCUUCUUUUUGCCGGAGUUGAUGGCGGAGGCCAGCUCGCUCUGCGCCGGGUACUCAGCCAGGCCGGCCAUGUGCAGAGCGCUGUCGGCCAGGAACACGCCGGCCGGUGUCAUGAUAAACAGUCCCGGAUUGAACGGGAAGCCGCCUCCCACACCGUACGGGAAGUCUGCAAUACCGCCAAUGGAGUCCGCAGCAGACGCACCAUCCAAGUCGUUUGCCCCUGAGAUUGAAUCGCUACCCCCCAUCCCCAUCCCCAUGCCCCCCGGCAGCAGCAUGUGCUCCAUCCCAGCCCUCUUUAACAGCACCGCCGCCUGGGCAAAGUGCAGCAGGCCGUUCUGUCCUUCCAGGACCUGCUCCAGGGUCCGGUCCAGCUUGGCUGCCGCCAGCGCUGAGACAGUGGGCUGGGGCUGUGGGGGUGGCUGGGGCUUGGCCGGGUGGCUCUUGGCCUCUCCAUUGUGGUGUGCGUGUCCAUUAGUGUUGGUGGGGCAGGCGGCUGUGUACUGGGAGAGGGUGCGAGACCUCUUAAGGCUCUUACUCAGGGGCUCACUGAUGAUGCCACUGCGGUUCCUGCGCUCGAUGACAGGGACAUCCUCACUGCAGCUGCUUCGCUCUAGGGCCUCGGCUGUCCGGUCUCGGCUUCCCUCCGACCGUCCGCUAGACAUGUUCCAGUACGUGCAGGGCUGGGGGGGCGGGCGGGAGGGGGAGCCGAGAGGUUCUCACAGUCUGUUCUGAGCCCAGGUGAGGUGGCGCCUCCCCACUGUGGACGAAUCGGACAGGCAGGCCUUAGAGCCCUUGUGCUCUGUCUAAACUUCAGCCCUCAUCCACAUCCUUCCACUGUCAACCUACAAACUGGCACAGGGAGAGAGAAGGGUCCUUCAAUAACAGGCUCAGUGUUGGACCUAGACAGCAUCUUAGUAAACAACAGACUCC
rnacentral:lncRNA from 1 species